rnacentral:rRNA from 1 species
GGGUAGUUUGACUGGGGCGGUCGCCUCCUAAAAUGUAACGGAGGCGUACAAAGGUAAAUUCGUACUUUUAUUGAAAAAUAUUAGUAUUUAGAGUGUAAUGGCAUAAAUUUACUUGACUGUAAAACUAACAAGUUGAGCAGGGAGAUAGUUAAUUCUAUUUCGGUCAUAGUGAUCCGGUGGUGCUUAGUGGACAGGCCAUCGCUCAACGGAUAAAAG